rnacentral:lncRNA from 1 species
UCAAAAAGGGCCCAAAUAAGCAUUUUCUUGGUUUUCGCACUAUAACUUUAGUUUAAGUAAAUAGAAAUCUAUGAAAUUUUGACACAAGGUUAAUGACCACAAAAGGAAGGUUGGGAUUGAUUUUGGGAGUUUUGGUCCCAAGAUUUUAGGAAUUAGGGGCCAAAAUAGGGCCCAAAUAAGCAUUAUUCUUGGUUUUCGCACCAUAACUUUAGUAUAAGUAAAUAGAAAUCUAUGAAAUUUUAACACAAGGUUUAUGACCAUAAAAGAAGGGUUG